UACGUAGGGGGCUAGCGUUGUCCGGAAUCAUUGGGCGUAAAGCGCGUGUAGGCGGUCCGAUAAGUCCGCUGUGAAAGUCGAGGGCUCAACCCUCGAAUGCCGGUGGAUACUGUCGGCUUGAGUACGGGAGAGGCGAGUGGAAUUCCUGGUGUAGCGGUGAAAUGCGCAGAUAUCAGGAGGAACACCGAUUGCGAAGCAGCUCGC
rnacentral:rRNA from 1 species